GCUAUCCUUGUCUUUGGGGAGCAAAGUGCUCAAUGAUCGUUUAGUGAGAGUGCUGUUGCUGAAACCCAUUAUAAUUUAACUCGCAUCCGUGAUAAUAUCAUGAGAUGCAAUUUUUGGAUAG